UCUUCUGCAGACUCAAGAGCCCUGCUGAGCUGCUCCCCAGACAAGUAGCACAUGUAAGCAGCUGGGACACCCCAGCAGGGAAGUUUCUGUUCGAGGCUGUACCACUGUGGGAGGAAGCUCUAUAGCUUGCAUGCAGUAAUAAACCCCGACAUCCUCAGCCUCCACCAGGCUGAUUUUCAGUGUGAAAUCAGUGCCUGAUCCACUGCCACUGAACCUGUCUGGGACUCCAGAGGCCCGGUUGGAAGCCGCAUAGAUCAGGAGCUGUGGAGACUGGCCUGGCUUCUGCAGGGACCCAGAGCAUUAGCAGCCCCAGGAGCUGAGCACAGAGCCUCAUCGUGAGAAGGUGCGCUGAGGAUUCCUGAUCAGUCAAGACAAGGGCAUCAGGUAAAGAGAAUUUGAGGCUCAAAUCCUGGCCUCACUGAUGGCUUACAGAAACCCUUUCAGAGCAGCUCUGAGAACCACAGUAGCUUUCCAAGCUGAGGAAGCAUCUGGGGACACUUGACCUUCUAAAAGAACAACU